ensembl:lncRNA
GUGAAAUCUCUGAACUGAAAGGAGAAUCUGAGCUGCAGAGAGAAACACGGCAGUGUCUCGAGCGUGAGAGGGAUUCCCUGCUGGAUGAAGUGCACCGGCUUCGUCUGGAGGAAGUGAGAUGGAAGGAGACGGAGGAGAAGAAGAGAAAUCUGGAGUUGGAGCUCGGUGACACACAGAAACUUCUGGAUAAGGAGAGAGCUAAAUAUCACAGCACUCAGCGCCAACACGAGGCGAUGGUGCUGAAGCAGCAGGCCCUGCUGGAGCGUGUAGACGCGUUGGUGCAGCAGUGUGAGGAUGUGCAGUCUCGUCUGGAAGAGUGUGAGGAUGAGAAAGCCGAGCUCACUGACACACUCGCACACACCACACAGGAGAGGAACACAGUGCAGGAACAACUCACACAGCAGGAGUCUGAGCUCCUGUCUCUGAAAGAGGACCGAGAGCAGCAGCGUGUGCGAGUCCGGGAGCUGGAGGAGUGUGUGUCCAGACUGACUGAGGAUUUACAACAGGCUGAGGAGAGAGAGAGGAUCCUGGUGGCUUUUCCUGAACUUAAUCGCCAACACACUACACCACAGAGUACAGGUGAUGUGCUGUGUGAUAUGGAGCAGCAGUUGAAGGUGAACUCCAUCAGGAUCAGGGUUCUCGAGCAGGAGAACGCGUCUCUGAAUAAAACCCUGGAGAGACUUAAACACACUCGGACCAUCACACCGAGUCAGCAGAGUGCAGGAGAUCGGACACCGUGUCCAGCCUCGGGAAGCUCAGAAGUGUACAGGAGAGAAAGAGCAAAAGAAAAGCAGAUCAUAUCUUCUCCUUCUUUCUCUGCUCUUCAUCAUCAGACGGUCCGUCUGUCUCUCGUUCCAGACGCAGGGGAAACGUACACGAAACUGCGCCAGACUGUACGCGCACGCUCCGCUGGGGUGAACCGCAGGAAGAAGUGAUGUCACCACCUGACGCCAACAUGCAUGUCACAAACAUUAAAUAUUUUGAAAAAUGCUGUAAUGUACAGUGCAUCAGGAAAGUAUU